rnacentral:tRNA from 1 species
GGAUUGUAGCUCAGUGGGAGAGUGCUUGCUUUGCAUGUAUGAGGCACUGAGUUCAAUCCCCAGUACCA